CGAAAGGAAGAUUAAUACCCCAUAAUAUAUUAAGUGGCAUCACUUGAUAUUGAAAACUCCGGUGGAUAGAGAUGGGCACGCGCCAAGAUUAGAUAGUUGGUGAGGUAACGGCUCACCAAGUCCAUGAUUCUUUAGGGGGCYUGAGAGGGUGAUCCCCCACACUGGUACUGAGACACGGACCAGACUCCUACGGGAGGCAGCAGUGAGGAAUAUUGGACAAUGGGUGAAAGCCUGAUCCAGCCAUCCCGCGUGAAGGACGACGGCCCUAUGGGUUGUAAACUUCUUUUGUAUAGGGAUAAACCCAGAUACGUGUAUCUGGCUGAAGGUACUAUACGAAUAAGCACCGGCUAACUCCGUGCCAGCAGCCGCGGUAAUACGGAGGGUGCAAGCGUUAUCCGGAUUUAUUGGGUUUAAAGGGUCCGUAGGCGGAUCUGUAAGUCAGUGGUGAAAUCUCAUAGCUCAACUAUGAAACUGCCAUUGAUACUGCAGGUCUUGAGUAAGGUAGAAGUGGCUGGAAUAAGUAGUGUAGCGGUGAAAUGCAUAGAUAUUACUUAGAACACCAAUUGCGAAGGCAGGUCACUAUGUCUUAACUGACGCUGAUGGACGAAAGCGUGGGGAGCGAACAGGAUUAGAUACCCUGGUAGUCCACGCUGUAAACGAUGCUAACUCGUUUUUGGGUUUUCGGAUUCAGAGACUAAGCGAAAGUGAUAAGUUAGCCACCUGGGGAGUACGAACGCAAGUUUGAAACUCAAAGGAAUUGACGGGGGCCCGCACAAGCGGUGGAUUAUGUGGUUUAAUUCGAUGAUACGCGAGGAACCUUACCAAGGCUUAAAUGGGAAUUGACAGGCUUAGAAAUAGGCUUUUCUUCGGACAAUUUUCAAGGUGCUGCAUGGUUGUCGUCAGCUCGUGCCGUGAAGGUGUUAGGUUAAGUCCUGCAACGAGCGCAACCCCUGUCACUAGUUGCCAUCAUUCAGUUGGGGACUCUAGUGAGACUGCCUACGCAAGUAGAGAGGAAGGUGGGGAUGACGUCAAAUCAUCACGGCCCUUACGCCUUGGGCCACACACGUAAUACACAUGGCCGGUACACGAGGGCAGCUACACAGCGAUGUGAUGCAAAUCUCGAAAGCCGGUCUCAGUUCGGAUUGGAGUUGCAACUCGACUCUAUGAAGCUGGAAUCGCUAGUAAUCGCGCAUCAGCCAUGGCGCGGUGAAUACGUUCCCGGGC
rnacentral:rRNA from 1 species